rnacentral:rRNA from 1 species
GGCUCAGGAUGAACGCUAGCUACAGGCUUAACACAUGCAAGUCGAGGGCAGCAUGAACUUAGCUUGCUAAGUUUGAUGGCGACCGGCGCACGGGUGAGUAACGCGUAUCCAACCUGCCCACCACUUGGGGAUAACCUUGCGAAAGUAAGACUAAUACCCAAUGACGUCUCUAGAAGACAUCUGAAAGAGAUUAAAGAUUUAUCGGUGAUGGAUGGGGAUGCGUCUGAUUAGCUUGUUGGCGGGGUAACGGCCCACCAAGGCGACGAUCAGUAGGGGUUCUGAGAGGAAGGUCCCCCACAUUGGAACUGAGACACGGUCCAAACUCCUACGGGAGGCAGCAGUGAGGAAUAUUGGUCAAUGGACGAGAGUCUGAACCAGCCAAGUAGCGUGCAGGAUGACGGCCCUAUGGGUUGUAAACUGCUUUUAUAAGGGAAUAAAGUGAGUCUCGUGAGACUUUUUGCAUGUACCUUAUGAAUAAGGACCGGCUAAUUCCGUG